GUCGAGCGAGCUUGCCUAGAUGAUUUUAGUGCUUGCACUAAAUGAAACUAGAUACAAGCGAGCGGCGGACGGGUGAGUAACACGUGGGUAACCUGCCCAAGAGACUGGGAUAACACCUGGGAACAGAUGCUAAUACCGGAUAACAACACUAGACGCAUGUCUAGAGUUUGAAAGAUGGUUCUGCUAUCACUCUUGGAUGGACCUGCGGUGCAUUAGCUAGUUGGUAAGGUAACGGCUUACCAAGGCAAUGAUGCAUAGCCGAGUUGGGAGACUGAUCGGCCACAUUGGGACCGAGACACGGCCCAAACUCCUACGGGAGGCAGCAGUAGGGAAUCUUCCACAAUGGACGAAAGUCUGAUGGAGCAACGCCGCGUGAGUGAAGAAGGGUUUCGGCUCGUAAAGCUCUGUUGGUAGUGAAGAAAGAUAGAGGUAGUAACUGGCCUUUAUUUGACGGUAAUUACUUAGAAAGUCACGGCUAACUACGUGCCAGCAGCCGCGGUAAUACGUAGGUGGCAAGCGUUGUCCGGAUUUAUUGGGCGUAAAGCGAGUGCAGGCGGUUUAAUAAGUCUGAUGUGAAAGCCUUCGGCUCAACCGGAGAAUUGCAUCAGAAACUGUUGAACUUGAGUGCAGAAGAGGAGAGUGGAACUCCAUGUGUAGCGGUGGAAUGC
rnacentral:rRNA from 1 species